AGCGAACGCUGGCGGCAGGCCUAACACAUGCAAGUUGAGUGCCCCGCAAGGGGAGCGGCAGACGGGAGAGUAACACGUGGGAACGUACCCUUCAGUACGGAACAACCAAGGGAAACUUUGGCUAAUACCGUAUACGUCCGUAAGGAGAAAGAUUUAUCGCUGAAGGAUCGGCCCGCGUCUGAUUAGCUAGUUGGUGAGGUAACGGCUCACCAAGGCGACGAUCAGUAGCUGGUCUGAGAGGAUGAUCAGCCACACUGGGACUGAGGCACGGCCCAGACUCCUACGGGAGGCAGCAGUGGGGAAUAUUGGACAAUGGGCGCAAGCCUGAUCCAGCCAUGCCGCGUGGGUGAUGAAGGCCCUAGGGUUGUAAAGCCCUUUCGGCGGGGAAGAUAAUGACGGUACCCGCAGAAGAAGCCCCGGCUAACUUCGUGCCAGCCGCCGCAGUAAAAC
rnacentral:rRNA from 1 species